ACAAAUUAGAGUGCUUAAAGCAGGCCUGUUGCGCCUGAAUACUGUGUGCAUGGAAUAAUGGAAUAGGACCUCGGUUCUAUUUUGUUGGUUUUCGGAACCCGAGGUAAUGAUUAAUAGGGACAGGCGGGGGCAUUCGUAUUGCGACGUUAGAGGUGAAAUUCUUGGAUCGUCGCAAGACGGACCGAAGCGAAAGCAUUUGCCAAGUAUGUUUUCAUUAAUCAAGAACGAAAGUUAGAGGUUCGAAGGCGAUCAGAUACCGCCCUAGUUCUAACCAUAAACGAUGCCAGCUAGCGAUCCGCCGAAGUUCCUCCGAUGACUCGGCGGGCAGCUCCCGGGAAACCAAAGCUUUUGGGUUCCGGGGGAAGUAUGGUUGCAAAGCUGAAACUUAAAGGAAUUGACGGAAGGGCACCACCAGGAGUGGAGCCUGCGGCUUAAUUUGACUCAACACGGGAAACCUCACCAGGCCCGGACACCGGAAGGAUUGACAGAUUGAGAGCUCUUUCUUGAUUCGGUGGGUGGUGGUGCAUGGCCGUUCUUAGUUGGUGGAGCG
rnacentral:rRNA from 1 species